rnacentral:tRNA from 1 species
GGAGACGUGGCCGAGAGGCUGAAGGCAGCGGUUUGCUAAAUCGCCAUACCCCCAAAGGGUAUCGUGGGUUCGAAUCCCACCGUCUCCGCCA